rnacentral:rRNA from 1 species
CGGUCCAGACUCCUACGGGAGGCAGCAGUGGGGAAUAUUGCACAAUGGGCGCAAGCCUGAUGCAGCCAUGCCGCGUGUGUGAAGAAGGCCUUCGGGUUGUAAAGCACUUUCAGCGGGGAGGAAGGCGUUAAGGUUAAUAACCUUGGCGAUUGACGUUACCCGCAGAAGAAGCACCGGCUAACUCCGUGCCAGCAGCCGCGGUAAUACGGAGGGUGCAAGCGUUAAUCGGAAUUACUGGGCGUAAAGCGCACGCAGGCGGUCUGUCAAGUCGG